rnacentral:rRNA from 1 species
UACGGAGGGUGCAAACGUUGCUCGGAAUCAUUGGGCGUAAGCGUGUGUAGGCGGCCUAACAAGUCGGACGUGAAAUCCCUCGGCUUAACCGGGGAACUGCGUCCGAUACUGGAUGGCUUGAGUUCGGGAGAGGGAUGCGGAAUUCCAGGUGUAGCGGUGAAAUGCGUAGAUAUCUGGAGGAACACCGGUGGCGAAGGCGGCAUCCUGGACCAACACUGACGCUGAGGAGCGAAAGCCAGGGGAGCAAACGGG